rnacentral:rRNA from 1 species
AGGAAAGUAGGGGAUCGCAAGACCUUGCGCUGAUGGAGCGGCCGAUAUCUGAUUAGCUAGUUGGUGAGGUAAAGGCUUACCAAGGCGACGAUCAGUAGCUGGUCUGAGAGGACGACCAGCCACACUGGGACUGAGACACGGCCCAGACUCCUACGGGAGGCAGCAGUGGGGAAUUUUGGACAAUGGGGGAAACCCUGAUCCAGCCAUGCCGCGUGAGUGAAGAAGGCCUUCGGGUUGUAAAGCUCUUUCAGCCGGGACGAAACGGUCACGGCUAAUACCUGUGAUCACUGACGGUACCGGAAGAAGAAGCACCGGCUAACUACGUGCCAGCAGCCGCGGUAAUACGUAGGGUGCAAGCGUUAAUCGGAAUUACUGGGCGUAAAGCGUGCGCAGGCGGUUUUGUAAGUCAGAUGUGAAAUCCCCGGGCUUAACCUGGGAACUGCGUUUGAAACUACAAGGCU